rnacentral:rRNA from 1 species
AUUGAACGCUGGCGGCAUGCCUUACACAUGCAAGUCGAACGGCAGCACGGGAGCAAUUCUGGUGGCGAGUGGCGAACGGGUGAGUAAUGUAUCGGAACGUGCCCAGUCGUGGGGGAUAACGUAGCGAAAGCUACGCUAAUACCGCAUACGCUCUAUGGAUGAAAGCGGGGGAUCGCAAGACCUCGCGCGCUUGGAGCGGCCGAUAUCAGAUAAGGUAGUUGGUGAGGUAAAGGCUCACCAAGCCGACGAUCUGUAGCUGGUCUGAGAGGACGACCAGCCACACUAGGACUGAGACACGGACCAGACUCAUACGGGAGGCAGCAGUGGGGAAUUUUGGACAAUGGGCGCAAGCCUGAUCCAGCAAUGCCGCGUGCAGGAUGAAGGCCUUCGGGUUGUAAACUGCUUUUGUGCGGAGCGAAAAGGCUUCCACGAAUACUGUGGGCUCAUGACGGUACCGUAAGAAUAAGCACCGGCUAACUACGUGCCAGCAGCCGCAGUAA